rnacentral:rRNA from 1 species
AUGAACGCUGGCGGCGUGCCUAAUACAUGCAAGUCGAGCGAACAGACGAGGAGCUUGCUCCUCUGACGUUAGCGGCGGACGGGUGAGUAACACGUGGAUAACCUACCUAUAAGACUGGGAUAACUUCGGGAAACCGGAGCUAAUACCGGAUAAUAUAUUGAACCGCAUGGUUCAAUAGUGAAAGACGGUUUUGCUGUCACUUAUAGAUGGAUCCGCGCCGCAUUAGCUAGUUGGUAAGGUAACGGCUUACCAAGGCAACGAUGCGUAGCCGACCUGAGAGGAGGGCGGGCCACAUGGGACAGGAGCCCGGCCCCAGCCUCCUGCGGGAGGAACAAGUGGGAAUUCUCGCGCAUGGGGCGAAGCCAUAGAGGAACACCCCCGCGUGAGUGAUGAAGUUUUUGGGAUCGAAAACCUUUUUUAUUGGGAAAAAAAAAAUGUUAAAUUACAUAUCCACGUCUUGACGGUACCUAAUAAAAAAGCCCCGGCAAACUCCGUG